rnacentral:sRNA from 1 species
GCUGGGCACGGUGGUGCACACCUGUAAUCCCAGCAACUUGGGAGGCUGAGGCAGGAGGAUCUUCAAGGCAGCCUGGGCAACUUAGAGAGACCCUGUCUCAA